GAUGAACGCUGGCGGCGUGCUUAACACAUGCAAGUCGAACGAAGCGCUUAAAUGGAUUUCUUCGGAUUGAAGUUUUUGCGACUGAGUGGCGGACGGGUGAGUAACGCGUGGGUAACCUGCCUCAUACAGGGGGAUAACAGUUAGAAAUGACUGCUAAUACCGCAUAAGCACACAGUGCUGCAUGGCACAGUGUGAAAAACUCCGGUGGUAUGAGAUGGACCCGCGUCUGAUUAGCUAGUUGGUGGUGUAACGGCCUACCAAGGCGACGAUCAGUAGCCGGCCUGAGAGGGUGAACGGCCACAUUGGGACUGAGACACGGCCCAAACUCCUACGGGAGGCAGCAGUGGGGAAUAUUGCACAAUGGGGGAAACCCUGAUGCAGCGACGCCGCGUGAGCGAAGAAGUAUUUCGGUAUGUAAAGCUCUAUCAGCAGGGAAGAAAAUGACGGU
rnacentral:rRNA from 1 species